rnacentral:lncRNA from 1 species
UUUGUGGUCCCUCGAGCACUCAGCAGAUACAGUAAGCAGUGCUGAUGAAGCAGCUGUCUGACUAACUUCAUAGUUGAGAGAAAUCAGACAGUUUGAUACAGGCUGUCAAACUAGUGUACUUAAACUUGUUGCCAUCAACUGAUGACUGUGCUUCUGAAAAAUGGACUGUUUUAAAUAAGAGAUGCACCACGAACUUCUAUAAGGUGACAUGAUUGUCUGCUCUGAAACAGUUUGGACUGGCUUAUACUGGCGUGCAAACGUGCAGACUAGUGGAAAAGUCAAAAAGAAUAUUUGCACCAGGACUUACUACAGUUUUAAAACUCUGGUCUGCAGGUUUUCUUUCAACCAUCACAACAGCCUUACAGCCUGUGCAAGAAGCCAGAGAGAUAUACUAACUUGUUCCAAUGAAACAUGCAGAUUUCAUGCAAACCAAAAGAAUCCAAAUGCAAAUGAUAAGAUGAGCAGGCUACACAGUGGUUGGUGCUGUUGUCUCUUUGUUUGCUCUGUGAUAGACUUUUUUCAUAGCAUCCCCCACCUCCUGUUUACUGUCAGCUGGAAAAGGCUCUGGGAUGAGAGGAAGGGAUGGACUGAUGGGUGGCACAGUGACAGAUGAGGUUCAUUACCAGGCUUCUGUGAAAAGGAUAAAACGUUUGGGGUCCAACCAUGGUCCGACUGAACUAAAUUCAACCUUCAGUGAGUUUUCACGUGAAUUUUAGGAGGAAAGAACAAGGAUGCAGUGACUUGAAAAAUAGCUUUUAUGUUAAAAAAUUGAAAACAAUAGAAAAUAUCAAUUUAAUGGCUACAAAACUGAGUGGAAAAAUAAGUUUGACAGUUACAAAGAACAGAGAAAGAAGGAGGUCGUUAACUUUUAAUAGUAUGAUUGCAAACAUUUGUGGUUAGCAUGACACUUUAGUAAAGCAAUUUUUUAUUAUGACUUCAAACUGAAGAAGUGGGUUUUGGUAAACAAAAAAGGGUUGGGUAGUUAUGUAUUUAAUGCUAAAAUUUACGAUUCUUGGAAAAUUAGUGAAAUUGAGCAGAAAUACAGAUUUCACAGUCACCAUGGACUCACUAUUUGAAUCAUGAGCUUGUACACUCUGCGUUUACAGACUUUUCUGAGUUUUUUUUAGUUUUUUUUUUUAGCAAACUGCAGGUUACACUUGCAUGGACAGACUCAGUUUACAUAGUUGAGUUACAUUUUGUGUGUGAUUGCUAACACUGUUCAGUGUAUGCUGGAUGUGUUAGCCAUAGCCAUUUGAGGGUUGAUCAUCUCAGAUUUUCCAGCCCUUCCUAUAAGCACCAUAUUCAGAUAAAUAACUGGAUGCAUGCAUCUUUAAUCUGAAUAGAGACCUAGUGUUUCUGGGAGACACAGAUGAAGACGUGUUAAACCAAAGUGAAGGAAUGAGGUGUUGAAAGGAUGGUCAGAAGGAGGAAAAUGUUCUGCACUUCUCUCUUUGUCUAUUUCAUUGUAUGCCAACAUCCUUCUGGCUCCUGCGGCUCCACUGAUGCAGAUUGAGGUAGACUGGCCAAAUAGACUGAAGUAGCCAAGUUGUUGUAGCAAUGGCUCCAGCGGCUCCAGGGAAAAAGGCACGUGGAGUGCAGAUGUGCUGUACAAGUUUUUGCAGAUCCCUGAUUAUUAUGUGUGUGCAUGUGUGUGUCAGGUUUCCAGAUGAAGUGAGAGUUUGUGUUAUUUAAAUUGGCUCAUAUAUCAUGCUACCAGCCCAUUAUUACAGAGCUAUCUGAACCACACAUCUCCUGCUCCCUUUCUGUAUUUGCAUAAACUGGUCACUGGUUUGAAAAAUAGUGAGGACAAAUGGUGCGAGGAAAAGCUGGAUCGUUGCCUAUCUGCACUAACUGUGAUUUUCUUUACCCUGAUACUGCUGUAUCUCAGACUUGGUCUGAAGGAAAACAGGAAAAAAGUGACUCCAGUUCUGUCUUUCAUCUGAUCUCAAAAGCUGACCAAACUCACAGUGGACUAGACUCUCAGGCUGGGAUACGGCAGGGGUUACAGUGUUUUAGAGGACUGCAGACUAGAGGGAGGAAGGGUUUAAGACAUGAGUUUCGAGCCAUCCGUAACCCUGAUACAAGAGUGAGACUCAUACCUAUAGUCUCUCUGUGUGAAGUGAGAUGACUGACUUUAUUCAGUCAAAUUUAACCCCAGAUGAAAGCUUGACUAUAAGCGCACAUGGACAGGGUCACAUUUAUUCAAUACUUGGGAACCAACAGGUGCUGGUGAUGAUCUGAUUGUGCAUGUUUACAUGCACUUCAGUAAUGUGUUCUUAUAACUGGUUAACAUGAUCGUGGCAAUGGCCGGCCCUUAUCCCUCAGUGGGUCUGCUGUUUAAGUCAUGCUUGCCAUUCUUAUCAGACAAACAGAAGAUCCUCUCAGAUGAACAAUCUUGGCGUAAAUGCUCCUGCUGGUGGAGAUUCAGGCUCUUUUUGGUGAUUUAGAUUAUUUGGCUUAACAAAAAGGAGCUCUUUAAGCUCCUUAACAGCUCUUCAUUGUACCAGUUUGGCUCUGUGAACCAGCCGUUCAUAACCCUCCUUAGCGUUGCUCUGCUGCUGCCACAGAGCAGCACUCCAGCAGUGAAGUCAGGUAAGGCAAAAAAUAUCUAUAGAAAACUAAAUUCAAGGUUUGGAUGAUCAUUUUUCAAGUUAACGUUCAUGUUCAAAGGUAAUAAAGAUAUUAAAGCUGAUAAACAAUCCAUGUGUGUGUCUGGCUCCGGAAAUAAUGAAAAUUCAUCCUACUCUUCGCUGAACAUUUUGUUGAAUUGUUGUUGCUGCUGCUUGUCAUACAUGUAUACAGUACAUGCAUCAUAUAAAACAGAUUGUUGGGCAAAAAUGAUUAAAAAAUAUCAGAUCAUACAGUUUGUGUUAUUUCUGUGGGCGAGCCUCUGACAGAUCUGUCCUCAGACAUGUCAGCACAGGAAGAGCAGCUUUGUUGAAUAUAUUGGUUGGUUAAAUCAUCACCCACCAAAAGUUAGACUCCUAAUUUACUGCUACUGUCUGAUUUCAUUAAAUUUGAGCUCUCCAUUUAUGUAAAUAAGAUGUGCUACCUCCAGUAUUUUUAAAAGGUUUGACGUUUUUCUUCUCUGCCUGAGGUUACAGGGCCUUACAGUGAACAAGCUCAGGCCGUCUGUGGGGAAAAAAGCUUUGUGCACUGAAACUCCUCCUGAUGUCAAACUGAAUUAAAGGAUAAAGUCUGUGCAAAAAUGCACUUCAUAAAAGCUGGAUGACAGAGGAUACAGAAACCUGAGAUGCUGAUUUGUGGUGAGUUUUCCUUGUCUGCUGAUGGUUGAGGAUUGGGAUUUGUGAUUUGGGAAGGGGAACCUGAUCUGGGCCUUUUGCCUCGUCUAAGGGAGCGGCAUGUGGAAAGCAUCCAACACAUUCAUCCAUUUUUUUAUCAGCACCCUCUUCCUCUCUUUCUCUCUCUCUCUCUCUCCACAUCCCUGUGCCGAGCUCUGAGUAUUUCUCUGCCAAAUGCUUUGCACUGUUUUAUCCCUAUCACUGCAGCACUGGGAAUUUCCUUUUUACUCUUGAUUUACUGGCUCCACAUGGACAAAGCAUGAGACGACAACUUCAUACGACAGUCAGUUUUACCAUCACCAAUGUGAUAGUAAACCAUCAUGGAGCUCUGAGGGUGUUAAACAACAGGUUUGCAAAAGACCAUCGUCCUCAAUGUUCUAAUUAUUUCAUGCUCUCUGCCUCAAAUGCAGUACAGUAACAACAGCAAACAUUGGGGUGGCACAAAAAAAGAAAAAAAAGUAAAAAAAAAAAAAAGAAUAGCUGACUCAACCCAUUUAAACCAGGAAAGCAUGUAUACACUUCAACCUUCCAAGCCAGGAGCACGGCUGUGCAUUUUUACUCAGAAAGCCAGGUGCAUGUAUGCAUUUCAACCUUAGUGGCCAGUGGACCCAUAAUUUCAAGACUAUUUUUAUAUUUACAUUUGUAUUGAAUGGACACUUUAUCAGCAAAUCGUUUGUUAUUCUCCAGUGCAGAGCCUUUACUUUUAUUUAUUUAGCCGCUUUAUUUCAUUUGAGUUUGUUUCUUCAAGGUUUUCAAUAAUGUGAUGAAGGUUCGGACA